AUUGAACGCUGGCGGCAGGCCUAACACAUGCAAGUCGAACGAGUGGCGGACGGGUGAGUAAUGUCUGGGAAACUGCCCGAUGGAGGGGGAUAACUACUGGAAACGGUAGCUAAUACCGCAUACCAUCGGAUGUGCCCAGAGGGGAUUAGCUAGUAGGUGGGGUAACGGCUCACCAAGGCGACGAUCCCUAGCUGGUCUGAGAGGAUGACCGACCACACUGGAACUGAUACACGGUCCAGACUCAUACGGGAGGCAGCAGUGGGGAAUCUUGCACAAUGGGCGCAAGCCUGAUGCAGCCAUGCCGCGUGUAUGAAGAAGGCCUUCGGGUUGUAAAGUACUUUCAGUGAGGAGGCGUUACUCGCAGAAGAAGCACCGGCUAACUCCGUGCCAGCAGCCGCGGUAAUAC
rnacentral:rRNA from 1 species